UCGCCCCGACAACAUCCCAUCGAGACCAUCAUUUUCACCUCCUCAGGUUGUCAAUACCACGCGGUAAAUCCACCCCAAAACCACCCCCAAAAUCGCCCCAACAAUUCUCCAGAAAAAAGUCCCUCCAAAUUACCACCAAAAAAGCCCAAACAACCCCGAAAUAUUUCGUGAAAAUUCCGAUAGCCCGCGAAUUUUCCGCGAAUUCGUUCGGAAAAGCUUCGCUGUUGACAUUUCCCCCGGCGCGGGGGGAAAUUACACACGUCGGUCAGUGGAUUUGAGUUCACGUGACGUCGACGAUACGAGAUUUGGAAAUUUGUCGUGCAUUGUAAGAGGGGCAGAGGGCGAAAAGGGGUGGCUGAUAAAAAGGAAAAAUUGAAAAGAAAAAAUUGAGCAAAGAAUUGAGUGAAAGAGAGUGGGGGUGAGUGGUGGGGCCACUUGAAAAAAGUCGCAGUGCUACGAAUUUCUGGGAUAGAGUGAGAAGGGAAAAAAGUGAACUCGAGAACAAAAUCCACGGAAGUCCCUUUGUGGUGACUUUUUUAAGUUUUUUUUUCAUGGCAUUUCUUCAUCCAUUUGCUGGGGCCACUGUUGUGCAUUAAAAGUGCGGGAUAUUGGGAGUUUCGGGGGGAUCAAAGUGAAACUUGAUACACGUUUUUUUUUUUGGUUUUUUGUUUUUUCUUAGUGGAAACAACAAAUGUAAACUGGAGAUUGGGGUAUCAACGUGUUUACGAUCGAAGGACCAUUCAAUUACGUUUAUUGGAGCUAUGGAUUUUCCGCUGUUCCGGAUUUUCAAAUGAUAACUUCGUGUUUUUAAUUGGAUUGAAUCGAGAAAUUAUAACUCAUCGCUGUGAAAAAUGCAGUCCCUUCUUUUAUUGAUGUGCCUCGUUGGUGCUGCACUUGGAGAAAACAGCACUGUUGAUGAUGUUUUCGGGAUAACAUCCACGGCUAUUCAUGGGGAGAAUG